GCGGGUAUAGCUCAGUGGUAGAGCACAACCUUGCCAAGGUUGGGGUCGAGGGUCCGAAUCCCUUUGCCCGCUCCA
rnacentral:tRNA from 1 species